rnacentral:tRNA from 1 species
GACUCGGUGGUGCAGUGGUCAGCGCGCCUGACUGUUGCACCGAGGGUCGUGGGUUCGAUUCCCACAUCGGUUA